UUUAACCUUUCCAAACUGCCAGACUGCUCUACACCCCUGUUAGUGGUUGCUAGAUGCCUCCACUAAAACUUGACUUUCUGCCAGGAAGAAAGGACCCAUAGCGACAUAGUUUUAUAAUGUCACCAAUCGGAUAGCACACUCCUUCAAAAGAGUCAUCUGCUGUAUCUCCAUAAAAAGCUAAAUAAGGAACCCUUUUACUCAGAUCAGAGAUGACUGGGGGCAGGGGAUAGGAGACCUCUGGUGUUCCAGUUAUCAGAUCUGCGAAAAAAUUUUUUAAAAUUUCUUCAAUCAAGAGGCUUUAUACCACUUUUUUCCUGUUAAAGGUGAAGUC
rnacentral:lncRNA from 1 species